rnacentral:lncRNA from 1 species
GGCCCGGCUCCUGUCUUCACAGAUGCUUCUGGUGGAUGCUCUUUAUCACCUGGGCCCUCUGCUAGACUGUGUUAUAUCUGUAGGUCUGCUCUCUAGAGAAAACUGUUAUGAAAUUGAAGCUGAACGAACGCCACCCAACAAAGUCCGAAAGCUUCUAGAGAUUGUUGACGCUCAGAUGGAUGAAAGUGGAGCCUCUAGUUUCAUGGAGUGUCUGAGAAAAUGCAAGAAACAUUACCCGCGUCUACGAACCUGGUUGACCUCAGAAGAAGAUAAUUUCCAACCACCAGGCAUUACGCAAGGUCCAACAGAACAUCAACUACAGGCCCAGUUUAAUGUUUUGUGCUCACGCUUGGGCCUUUCUGUACUGCCGGUCUCCUUCGAUCUCUUCUCCAGAGGCAUUCUGACUCAGUUGGAGCUGGAGAAAAUCCAAGCAAUACUCAUCCCAACACAGCAAGCACAAACCCUGCUGUCCAUCUGCCUGAAGAAAGGAGAAAAAGCAUGCAAGAGCUUUUACACAGCGCUAAAGAAUGAAGACGAGCAGCUAGCUGAGGAACUUAAUGUGAACAGUUUGGUGGAAGACCUUAAUAAAGAACCUGAAGGCAGCAUUGUGCCGAUAGCAGUGGAGGAAACCCGAGGUCACUUGAGGGCUUUACCUCUGUCAGGAGGCCUGCAGCAGGUCAUGACUCGGCUAGGCUUGACUGUGGGGGAUGAGAUUAGGCUUAAUGUCUGUGAGGUUGGUGUGGCGGUAGGCUUGCCGCGUCGGACGGUCAGAGAGUAUUUUCUGGAAGGGGUUGGCAUUGAAGACUCAGCCCAGCUGGAGGCUCUAGUGUCCCUGUAUAUAGAGAAGACAAAGUACGCCGACAGACUACUGAGCAGAGUGGCAGAACUCAGCCCUCGGUGGGUUCAGCUUUCAGAGAGGGGGUGCCUGCUGUUGAAGUUGCUGCAAAAAGCCGAGACUCUUCUCCGCAGCGGUAUCCACAGUCACCGGCACAGCUGGGACCACCUUCACGAUCAGGACCACUUAUGCAGCUGGGACCACCUGUGUCCUGAUGACUGCACAGAUCAGCGC